rnacentral:rRNA from 1 species
GACGAACGCUGGCGGCGUGCCUAAUACAUGCAAGUAGAACGCUUAAGGAGGAGCUUGCUUCUCUGGAUGAGUUGCGAACGGGUGAGUAACGCGUAGGUAACCUGCCUGGUAGCGGGGGAUAACUAUUGGAAACGAUAGCUAAUACCGCAUAAGAGUAGAUGUCGCAUGACAUUUGCUUAAAAGGUGCAAUUGCUUCACUACCAGAUGGACCUGCGUUGUAUUAGCUAGUUGGUGAGGUAACGGCUCACCAAGGCAACGAUCCAUAGCCGAACUGAGAGGGGGAUAGGCCAGACUGGGACUGAGACAGGGCCCAGACGCCUACGGGAGGCAGCAGGAGGGAAUCUUCGGCAAUGGACGGAAGUCUGACCGAGCAACGCCGCGUGAGUGAAGAAGGUUUUCGGAUCGGAAAGGUCUGUUGUAAGGGAAGAACGAGGGUGAGAGUGGAAAGUUCACACUGUGACGGUAUCUGACCAGAAAGGGACGGCUAACUACGUG